rnacentral:lncRNA from 1 species
UGAGGAUGUAGAUAGUGGAGACCUCAUUUCAGGUGGCAGAUCCAUUUGAAUAUACUACCUGAGGAUUUCACUCAGUAUGGCUUUUAAUUUGGAUGUUAGCUGUUGUGCCCAGUGAUUGAGUUACCACUGAUUCUGAACUAAGUUUGUGUGGUACUGUCCUUCAUGCAUCGGCAUGACAGGGUUCCAGAGAGAAAGGUUGUGGGGAUCUUAAUUCAGAUCAUCACUCUUGUGUAAUAAGCAGUUUAUCCCCCAAGUCAUCAGAUGAAAAUGUGGUGUUCGUUUCAUCUAGCUGUGAGCUGGAAAUGUUCCUCGUGUGUUGAAAUAGCAAUCGACUAAGAGUACACUCGAAGGAGGGGAAGUGGCCAGUGUUUACACUGACAGUUUAUCAACAGCUGUGAGCAUAAGGCAAAGUUCACCUCAGCUCUCAGGGACUCAGUCUUCUCAAGAGUAAACUAAAAUAACAGUAUGGGACAUACACCCGAAACAGUUGAUGAGACCCCUCUGAAAUGCUCUACUGGGAUGAAACCAAGAAGGGGACCAUGACAGAGGAGGCAUGGAGGAAAGCGAAGAAGAGAGGAGCACUGAACAUAUGCAACAUGGAAGCAGAGCAUAGCUGCUUGAGGAAGGAGGGGUCUGAGUGAGACGGAGUCAGGGGAAAAGGGAGAUUAGUGCAGCCCAGAGAGAACAGAACCAUACAUAACGCCAUGUGUGUUUGAAGAUGCCACAAUGAGCCUGCUUCAUCAACUGUUAACAGAAGAAAUUCAAGUAAAUGUACU